rnacentral:rRNA from 1 species
CCUACGGGUGGCAGCAGUGGGGAAUAUUGGACAAUGGGCGAAAGCCUGAUCCAGCCAUGCCGCGUGUGUGAAGAAGGCCUUCGGGUUGUAAAGCACUUUCAGUGGGGAAGAAAGCCUUGGGGCUAAUACCCUCGAGGAAGGACAUCACCCACAGAAGAAGCACCGGCUAACUCCGUGCCAGCAGCCGCGGUAAUACGGAGGGUGCGAGCGUUAAUCGGAAUUACUGGGCGUAAAGCGCGCGUAGGCGGUCUGAUAAGCCGGUUGUGAAAGCCCCGGGCUCAACCUGGGAACGGCAUCCGGAACUGUCAGGCUAGAGUGCAGGAGAGGAAGGUAGAAUUCCCGGUGUAGCGGUGAAAUGCGUAGAGAUCGGGAGGAAUACCAGUGGCGAAGGCGGCCUUCUGGACUGACACUGACGCUGAGGUGCGAAAGCGUGGGUAGCAAACAGGAGUAGAUACCCUUGUAGUC